UCCCGUAUGGAUCACCGUUGGAGAACUUCUACUUUGAAGCCCUAUAGAGAUCAUUUUAUUACCAGAUCCUAAUCUUCUUGUUUGGUAUAUGACUUCUAAUCUCUCAUUGAUAUGCAUGCUAGAAUUGUUUGAUUGUAAUUAUCAAGGAGUUCCUAGGGUUUGUAUUUCGAUAGUCAUAUUUUAAUUGUUAAAACUUGUUUUUCAAUAGUUGAAUGCAUGUAAAAUUUUUAAAAAUCAUAUUCCACUG
rnacentral:lncRNA from 1 species